rnacentral:rRNA from 1 species
ACGGUGAAGCAGUUUAAGGAUAUAUAUAAAGGCUAGUUAACUAAUAUUAUAAAGUAAAAUUUGAAUAUUUAAGGUGAUCCAAAAAAGCUUUAUUCAUAGCUGCGAAACCCUUGAGGGAAACUGGGAUUAGAUACCCCAUUAUUCUAGGGUAUAAAAAAGUUACCAGGGUACUACGAACUAUGUUUAAAACUCAAAGAGCUUGGCGGUGUUUUAGACCCCCCAGGGGAACCUGUCUCGUAAUCGAUGGUCCACGCAACACCUGACCUUGUUUAUUGUUUGUAUACCGUCGUCGUUGCAAACUUUGUAAAAAAGAAAAAGUUGGCGGCCGACCUGUUUGGGUUGAAUGACAGAUCAAGGUGCAGCUGAUAACACGGGGAGGAUGGGUUACAAUUACGAAUUAUAAUACCAAAAGUUGUUUUAAAAACUUCACGAAAGGAGGACUUGGAAGUAAGAAGG